rnacentral:lncRNA from 1 species
UGGCUGGGAGGGCCGGGGAAGGCCUCUAGGAAGAACAGGAAACCAAGAUGGCCCCUGAAGGGUGACUGGGAUUUCGAUAAGUUGGAGAGGAGCAGCAAGGAAAGUUGGGAUCAGGACCCACAUGAACUCGGCAUAAACACCAGCUCACAUGGGCUGCGGUGUGGGGGAGCCAGCUGAAGGACAUGGCAACAGGUUCUCUCCUAUGGGACGACCUUGGAAAUGAGAAGGGGAAGGCAUAUGAAAGGAAGAGUCAGAGGACUAACAGGGAAUAGGUGGAAGGACCAACCUCUGAACCUGUCUGUCGGCUUCCCACUCUUCCCUUCCGCUUCUCCCUCCAGAGAAGCCUGCCAUAAAACUGGGGAGAAGACACAUGGAUAAACCAAGAGCAAUGGAGAGAUGCAAUUACCUGAGGACAAGAUUAGAGGCAGAAACAGCGUGAUCCAAGAGCAUGUUCUCUUGAGGCAUUUCC